rnacentral:rRNA from 1 species
UACGUAGGGUGCAAGCGUUGUCCGGAAUUAUUGGGCGUAAAGAGCUCGUAGGCGGUUUGUCGCGUCUGCUGUGAAAUCCCGAGGCUCAACCUCGGGUCUGCAGUGGGUACGGGCAGACUGGAGUGCGGUAGGGGAGAAUGGAAUUCCUGGUGUAGCGGUGGAAUGCGCAGAUAUCAGGAGGAACACCGAUGGCGAAGGCAGCUCGCUGGGACGGUACUGACGCUGAGGCGCGAAAGCGUGGGGAGCGAACAGG